rnacentral:rRNA from 1 species
CAUUUCUUACUGAAAUAUUUGUAAGUACCACCUGCUCAAUGAAUAUUUAAAUAGCCGCGGAAAUUUAACCGUGCUAAGGUAGCAUAAUCAUUAGCCUCUUAAUUAGAGGCUAGUAUGAACGGUGAAACAUUUCAAUUACUUUUUUAAUUAAUAUUUUUUAAUUUAAAUUAAGAAUAAAAAUGUUCUUAUAAAUAAAAUAGACGAUAAGACCCUUUUGAACUUUACUUUAGUUUAGCUGGGGCAGCUAAAUAAAAAUAAUCUUAUUUUUACUUUUUACCUAAAUGACCCAAUAUAAUUGAUUAAAUGACCAAGUUACCAUAGGGAUAACAGCGUAAUAUCUUUUUAAAGCUCUUAUUAAAAAAGAAGAUUGCGACCUCGAUGUUGAAUUAGUGUAACUUUACUGAUGCAGUAAUUUUAAAAGUAGGUCUGUUCGACCUUUAAAACAUUACAUGAU